UAUUUCUUUCUAGGACGAAAUGAAACGGUCCGGAUUUAAAAGUAACUUUUAAUCUCAACCUUUUAAUUUUCUAUUGAUGCUGCGCCGGAUCUCAAUCCAGUUUAGCUUCAUAAUUUCAGGAGCAAGACAGGUUCAAGAACACACAGAGAAAUCUCUCGGCGAAAAAUGAAAUGGCGUAUAGAAGAGAAAUCGACAUGGGGUUCUUUCUCUUCGCACCAGGACUUGCUGCAAUAAAAGACUGCUAAUUUUGUCAAAACAACUACAGCCCAACAACAUACAAAAAGGAAAGAGAGAGCCAGCUUCAUUAAACAUAAUACAAACGCAUUGGAGAGAAGCAGCAGUCAUCAAAGAUACAAGAGGACAACAUGAUUUUGAGAUACUGCAACUGCAAACAGCAUGUAUGCACACCCCUCCAUCUAUAUUCUGUUGUUCCUUCCAUAUGUCUUGUAAUUCGAAGCUUUAGCUCCUUUCGGUCUCCACCAAAGGAAAAAAAUGCCAUGUUACACUGGAUUAUUUUUAUUAGGCCAUUGUGGCUGUCCUUAACCUUAUAAUCUUAUGGCUAUCACGAAUGCUAAGGUGCCUUAUGAAGUACCACAGAAAAGCCAAGAUUGCUAAUUUUCUCAUCAAGGAAGGGUUGAAGGUGAAGAAACUGGCAGAGCAGUAUCUUGAGGCAGCCCAGCAGAAGGAAAAGGUGAAUCUUUAUAAUGGCAGCUGUAUUCAUCUCUUGCAAUUUCUACAGCAUUAGUAUUUGUAUAUAAUGAGAAUCAUAAGAACUUUGAGCCAUAAUUAGGUGGGCGUUACCUAAAUGUAAAUUGUAUGGUACUACUUGGCGUAAAUGUAAAUUUGUAUGGUAGUGCCAAGUAGUCAUAGCUCCAUUGCUUCAUGCUGAGGUGUUUGCUACAAAAACAGAAUUUUAUGAAACUGUAAAUUAUUUUUGAAUUUUUAAUGCAAUCUAUUGGAUGA